GGGAAGCUGGCAGCUGUGUUGGAAACACCCAUGGAAGGGAACUGAGGUCUCCCACCAACAACCAGCCCUACCUGGCAGCCAGUGAGUGAGCCACUCUGCAAGUGGAUCUUCCACCUCCAGACAAGCCUUCAGCUGAGGACAGACCUGGCUGACACCUGAACGGAGCCGCAUAUGGGUCACCCAGCCAGUGCUCCCGCAUUUCAGACCAACAGAAACUGUGAGAGAUGAUCAACGUUUAUGUUGUUUGAAGCCACUAAAUUUGGGGGUAAUUUGUUAAGCAGUAAUAGACACAUUGAAUUGCUUUCAAAGCUGCACGAUAUGGGUUUUGGGUCACGUCAACCAGAGAGAGAAAGGCAUGAGGGACUCAAGAAACACUUUGAGUAAAUUUGUUUUCCUUUUUUUCACCAACAAAAUUGAAUUUGAGGCCAAUAUUUGAAAGCUUUGUACUAUAUAACUGCUGAAAUACAUUUUAUUCUUAAUGCGUUUCCAAAUGACCUGUUGUCCAUAGAAAAGUACACUCAACACUGAAUGCUUCUACUACUCUGAAGAGCAAGACAGCUCGAAGUGGAAUUCACUCAGGCAUCUCAUAGCACGAAAUCAUCUCAUAGCCUUUCAGACCCUAUCUUCACGGUCACCUUUCAAUCGUUUGAGUCCCUGGGCCACGGCAUCCCCUGACGUUUCGGAAAGCAGGAACGGAGGGAUACAACGAAAUAAAUUAUUUGGGAAGGGACUGGGCUAGGGACCCUACUGGAUGUUGGUGGCGAAACUUUUAAAUCAUUUACAAAACACCAGUCCCGAUCUCCUCUGGGAGACUGAGCUGUUGUUACCUCUUCUCCCGGCGUCCCUGCCCGCGGAAGUUCGCUCCUAGGGAAGUCGCUCGCGUCCUCAACAGCACGGGAGAGGAUCUCGGCGAAGCGGAAGGCUCUGGUGCCAGCUGGGAGAGUCGGCGCCGGAUUUCCUCGGCUCCCUGGCGCGUUUCCUCGGAGGCGGGGGAGGCCGAACACGGACCCCGGAGUCGGCGCCCAAAGCGGGGCGCCCUCGCUCGGGGCGGGAGUGCUGGGAGGUGGGUGUGCGGGCGGCGCGCUCGCCCUCCAGCUGCAGCCCGCGCGGAGCGCGCACUGCCUGCGAGCGCCGGCGUCUCCAGCAUGGAGUGGGAACUCAACUUGCUGCUCUACCUGGCGCUCUUCUUCUUCCUGCUCUUCUUACUUUUCCUCCUGCUCUUCGUGGUCAUCAAGCAGCUGAAGAACUCCGUGGCCAACACGGCCGGGGCGCUACAGCCCGGGCGCCUCUCGGUGCACCGCGAGCCUUGGGGUUUCUCUCGAGAGCAAGCGGUGUGACCCGAGUGCGGGCACAGGCGGGAGGGCACCGAGCUGCGCGGGCGCUGGGCUGGGUCUCCGCCUGGAUUCUCAGUCCUUGCGGCCUCCCAGCUUCCAGAGCCUAGAGCCUAGAGCCUCUGCCCUUGACUGGUGCAUAAAGAACCACAGCUGCAAUGACAGUUUGGGCCUGCGAAGAGAAGGAUGGAACGACAGGAGAGGGAAGCUUUCUGCAAAUGGGCACAGCUGUAGAUGCAGAACUGAUGCCAUCUGGUGUGAUUCUACAGAAUAAGAGAGAAAAUUUACCCAGAGUGUGCCAUGCACUGGCUUUUCUGGGAAUGGCAAGGUGCCAGGAUUUGUUUUUGGUUCACUUGCAGGGGUGGAAGCUUGGAACUAGGUUCCAAGAUGGUCCCUGCAGCUCCCCACAAGAAGGAGGGAGCCCACAGAGAAAGCAAGCCAUGCCAGUUCAAAUCCACUUCCUUUUAAAGAGCCUCCUCAGCACCCCAAUAACUUCUGCCUUCAUCUCAUUGGCCAGGACUGUGUCAUUGGCUACUGCUAUCUGCAAGAUUGUCUGAGAAAUGUAGGUUUUGUUGCUGGAGCUAUAACUGCCUUUCACAAAAUCCAGUUUCUCUUGAUAAGGAAGAAGAUGGUGGUGAAUCUUGGGAAGACAACUAACAGUUUAUGCCCUGGUUACAAAAUAAAAUUGCAGAAGAGCAUAAAGUUCAAAAAUAUCAAAAUGUAGUUCCUUCACAACUGGCAAAGCUCCAAGCAUCACUGCUUCCCUCUGAGAGAGUGAGCAGAGCGAAGGCAUAUCCGGUUUUCUCACAAAGCACUUGACGGGACUGACCUUCUCUUUCAAUCAAUAUCCUUGUCACACAUCAGGAUUUUCUAGAGGGCUCUGGGUACCUGCAUACUUCCUUGGUGACCAUAACCUCUUAAUGGAGGGUUGUAUAAGAUAAAUAGUGUACUACUGUGCUGCUCCCUCAUCUGCAUCAUUUCUCUCCUCCCUAAUUUUCCUGUCAGUUAUAUUUUGGUGGAGUCUGGGUUUGUGUAUUUGAUGCCUAUAAAAAGACCAUCACUUUCAUGCAUGGAGGAGGGGAAUCCUUGCAAAGAAAGUCUACCUUACUCCCUUCUGUGACUCCACCACCAAUCUAGGAAUAUCCUGGGAGAAGAAUUGCCUCUCAAAACUGCUUCCAUAGCAGCCUACAUCCUAGUUAAGCAAAGAAGAAACACUUCCCACAUCUAGGGCUGUCUAAAAGAACUUUCUGUGAUGACAGAAAUGUUCUAUAUCUGCAGUGUCCAAUAUGGUAACCACUAGCCACGUGUGGUGAGUGAACACUUGAAAUGCGGCUAUUGUGACUGAGGAAGUAAAAUUGAAAUUUUGUUUAAUUGUAAUUAAUUUAAAUUCAAAUAGCCAAAUGGGGCUACUGACUAUGAUAUUAGAUAGCACAGUACACUUUAUUCUCUUUCUUGUGUUGUAGAACCAGCAGGGAGAUGCGUGGGCCAGUCAUGGGCUUGAUGUCCCACGGUCUUCACUAUUCUACCUUGCCAUUGAACUUGUCUCCCAGAGGAAAAGAAAGAAUGGUAUUUGGAAUUGAAUUCAAGAUGUUAACUUGACAUCUAUAUAUUGCACAUAUUCCUGUAUAGUGAAUGGAAUGGUCUCCUGGGAAUAGGUUCUGUGAUUGAUUUUAGUGAUAACUGGUCAUGAAGAAAUGGCCAUACUGCUCCACUUCACCUUCCUAGUGACUAUUACAUAUUCCUAGUCAGAGUGACUCAGCAGAGAUUAUUUUGUUCUCUUGUGCAAUUUAUUCUGUGUAAUUUUAUUUUUGUAAUAUUGUGGCAGCUAAAUGAUUAUUCUGUGUAUGUUUUUCAAAAUAUUAGGUGGCUUAUAUUUUUAAAAAUGCUAUGAAAUAAAAAUAAACUAUAUGUUAACACAGUU